AGUGUGUAACUAACUCCAGUCAAAUGUCAAGACCUACUUUGUAGAAAACAACUCAGUGCCUUGACUGUGAGAAAUAGAUACUAUUUCCUGUUUGUAUUUAUUAUAGAAUAUAAUUGCUGUCUCAGAGAGAUCUUGAUCUCAGAAGUGAUCUUUAGACUUUAUGUUUAUGCAGCAGCUCCAACUCCAAGUAGAAUUAAAAGCCCUGGGGUUUUAGAAGUGGUAUCUCAACUAGAUGGUGCUCUGUUACACUAAGAAGUCUGGGCAGAGCUGGUAGCCUGUGGAUAGGCUGUCCUCUGAAGGCAAGUCUCUUGUCAUCAUAAGGCAUAUUACCCUUUCAGCUAACUUGCCCUGCUCUCAGCAGUAUAUGUAGAAUCAGCAACUAGGAUUCUGCGAGCCCUGGACAUAAAAGAAGAGACUGUAGAAUAGGAAGUUUAUAGACAGAUACUCCGUGGGUAGAGCAAUGGCCUGGCAUACUAGAAUAGAAAGGUUUGGAGUUCUGGUCCAAGUCACUCACUUUCUCCCCGGGAGUUGCCCACAUGGAUCUAAAUGUAAUAUAGACUAUUAGUACUCAAAGAAGUAAGUUCAAAUUGACUGUUAAGCGGUUUCCCAUCAUUUCUGACCUUUGGUUUUAAUUUGAUUCUACACAGUAGUUUAAAAACAAAGUAUGUGUUCUUGUCAGUUUUUCCCUCACCAGAACAACAUAACUUGACCUCUUAAGUUAUAUAAUACAUGUACAUUGUUAUACAAUACACAGAAGAGUUCAGAGGAAAUCAUCUUUGUUCCUUUUUCAAUGUCAGUCCCAUCACCCUGAGAUGGCAGAUAAGUAAAUCUUUUUAUCUCCCUCUCUUUUUCUUAUUCCAGUCGUAGAAACUAUAAUAUUUAUUCUCUGUGCCUCUAAAACAGAACUUCCUUGCCUGUAUGGAGCUGCUAUUGCCAGUGUCCUGGUCCUUCACAGCGCCACGCUUCCUUCAUAGUCUCUGUCCAUUCUGUUCUUCCUACUUUGCAUAAAGGAAGCCGCCCAGUUUUGAUUUUCAGCGGACAUCUGUGGAUUUGUUGAGUCAGGUGCACAUUUGGGAAAUGAAAGGUCUAGUUAUUGAAGGCAGCCUGAUGAUUUUUUUUAAAUGUACAAGUAUAGGUAUGAGAAAGAGAUGAUAUUUUAGACAGUUUGUAUACCACAAUGGCCCCAUAGGAGGGGAGUAUGUAUGUAUGUAUAUACAGUGUGUGUGUUUGUGUAUGUUGUAUAACAUCUAGUAAAACCUGAGUUUAUGUAAGUACACUCUGUAGUGUUUUAACAAUGAUGAAACUACGCAACAGCAAAUUUCUCAGUGUGUUGCCCUGUCAUUGAAAGCUGUAUAUAAUAGAGUGUGUAUAUUAUAUAUACAUAUAAUAGAGGUAUUAUAGUAUAUAUUAUAGUAUAUAAAUAUAAUAGAGGUGUAUGAGCUAACAUAUAUGUAUGAUUAUAAAUUUGAAAUAUGUAGAUUUCAGACAUAUUUUCAAACGCCUUUAAUCCCAGCUCUCAGGAGGCAGAAGCAGGUGAGAUCCUGCCUUGAAAAAAAUAAUUGUAGACUCAAUACUGUGUUUAAGAAAAAAAAUGAAAAUUUUCUGUGAGGACUACCAAGACUACCUUCUGAAUGGUGGGUAUUCCUCCAGUUUGGGGGAUGAAUACACAUAUCACAACAUAUAUAUAAUUUUGGUUGUUUUUUUAGGAAAAUGAACUGCAAGGCUGGAUAUGUAUAGAUUGGUGAUGGAUCAGUUACCUAGUAUGCUCAAAGCUCUUAAGUUCAACACCCAAUACCACAUAGG
rnacentral:lncRNA from 1 species